AUUGAACGCUGGCGGCAUGCCUUACACAUGCAAGUCGAACGGCAGCACGGGUGCUUGCACCUGGUGGCGAGUGGCGAACGGGUGAGUAAUACAUCGGAACAUGUCCUGUAGUGGGGGAUAGCCCGGCGAAAGCCGGAUUAAUACCGCGUACGAUCUACGGAUGAAAGCGGGGGACCUUCGGGCCUCGCGCUAUAGGGUUGGCCGAUGGCUGAUUAGCUAGUUGGUGGGGUAAAGGCCUACCAAGGCGACGAUCAGUAGCUGGUCUGAGAGGACGACCAGCCACACUGGGACUGAGACACGGCCCAGACUCCUACGGGAGGCAGCAGUGGGGAAUUUUGGACAAUGGGCGAAAGCCUGAUCCAGCAAUGCCGCGUGUGUGAAGAAGGCCUUCGGGUUGUAAAGCACUUUUGUCCGGAAAGAAAUCCUUGGCUCUAAUACAGUCGGGGGAUGACGGUACCGGAAGAAUAAGCACCGGCUAACUACGUG
rnacentral:rRNA from 1 species